UUAAGCCAAGAUUGAUAAUCUAAUGUUCGUAUGGUGGCAUUGUAGUAUCUUAUUACUAUAAGAAAAAGCAGAUUUAAAAAAAAUUCUAGUUCAAAAUUAAAAAAAUUUUUUUUAAUUUUUUUUUUAGGGGGACAGUAAUUGCUGUCUGGAAGUGGGAUUCAGCUGUAACAAAGUCCUAAACCCUAAAAUGCAGAAGUAACUUUGGAACUGGACAGUGGAUUUUGGGGAGAGUGUUAGUGAAAGCCUAAACUUGAAGAAACCGUUAAUAGAAACAUCAUGAUCUUUGAUAUGGCUGCAGUUUCACAGGGGAAGAAGAAGUGUACUCUAGGCGCUGUACUUAACGAACUACACCCAAGGAGCCUCAACUGCAUCUGGACCUGCUUUAGACGAUAAGGUGUUAGACUUCAAGCUGAUGCUAUAAUGAAAUGACUUUUGGUGACUUCGGGAGGAAGUAAGCAUAUUUUGCCUGUGGGAAGGACCUGAAUCAUUUGGGACCUGAGGAUGGAUUGUGUUUGCCAGCCUCCGGAAGAUAGCCCUGAAUUAUCCUCGCCUCCUAUUAUUCACACCCUUGUGUAGGCGCCUCCUACACUCUGUCAUAGUUGGUCUGUGUGACCAACAUCAUGUAGCAGAAAUGACGAUGUGUUACUUCUGAGAUUAGGUUAUUAAAAAGACUGCAGCUUCCAUUCUGGUAUCUCUAUCUCUUGGAUAACUCCCUACUGGAGAAGCAAGCUGCCAUGUUGUAGGUAGCUGUAAGGAGAAGGCCACCUGGAAGACUACUGAAGCCUCUGGCCAAUGGCCAGCUAGGAACUAUACCGUGCCAACAAGCAUGUGAGUGAACUUGGAAAUGAAUUUUUCAGCCCUACGCUAGCCAUGAGAUGACUGCAGCCCCAGCCAACAUCUUGACUGCAAUCUCAUGAGAGUUCCUGAGGCAGAAACACCUGGCUAAGUCACUCUCAGAUUACUAAACCUUAGGAACUGUGUGAGAUAAUAAAAUGUUUGUUUUAAGCU